UACGUAGGGUGCGAGCGUUAAUCGGAAUUACUGGGCGUAAAGCGCGCGUAGGCGGCUCUUCAAGUCGAGUGUGAAAGCUCCAGGCUUAACCUGGGAAUUGCGCUCGAUACUGUUGAGCUAGAGUGUGGAAGGGGCUACUGGAAUUCCGUGUGUAGCGGUGAAAUGCGUAGAUAUACGGAGGAACACCGAUGGCGAAGGCAGGUCUCUGGGCAUUAACUGACGCUGAGGAGCGAAAGCAUGGGGGAGCGAACAGG
rnacentral:rRNA from 1 species